AAACCAUGAUGUGGACACCUCCUCAGAAGUUCUCCAAAACGCUCUCACGUCUCAAACAGAUAUUCAGACUCAUAUUGUUAAAAAUUGGAGAUCUCUGUCAUCAAAUU